rnacentral:rRNA from 1 species
UGAUCCUGGCUCAGAGCGAACGUUAGCGGCAGGCUUAACACAUGCAAGUCGAGCGAGAAAGGGGCUUCGGCUCCGAGUAAAGCGGCGGACGGGUGCGUAACACGUGGAUAAUCUGCCUCGUGGCGGGGGACAACAGUCCGAAAGGACUGCUAAUACCGCAUGUCAGGUCGGAAACUCCGGUUUCUGACGAAAAAGAGGGCGCCCGCAAGGGGCUCUCACCACGAGAUGAGUCCGCGUCCCAUCAGCUAGUUGGCGGUGUAAUAGACCACCAAGGCUUAGACGGGUAGCUGGUCUGAGAGGAUGACCAGCCACACUGGGACUGAGACACGGCCCAGACUCCUACGGGAGGCAGCAGUGGGGAAUAUUGGACAAUGGGCGAAAGCCUGAUCCAGCCAUGCCGCGUGAGUGAUGAAGGCCUUCGGUC